UGGAGAGCAAGACCAAUGUUUUAUAGAGCGCAAUGCUCAAAUGCUUUUACUAGAGGACCUCACAGGGGUGCACACAGUCAUACCCUAAAGUUCAGUCACUGACUCUUGGAGUCUCUUUUGUAAGGUCUCCGUUUAUUGAACGUGAACGUGCCUCUACUUUGAUCCACACAUCAAGAUUGACCACCGAAUUGCUUGUGGAUAUCCGUGAAGGAGACGGUGGCUGAACCUCUCCGCUUGGCCUGAGGGUGAGACGAGUGUUCUUUCCAUCCCGUCAUGUAAAUCACCUACACAGGAAUCACCCAACGAUAUAAACCUUGUGCACUGCUGGAUUAACAUACAUUGUUGUUACAGUCUAUACUCUGACACAUUGCGUACCUGAAACGUAGCAGGUAUAGUGCCGUCCUCUGUGGCGAACAUGGAGUCAUAUAUGGCUGCCGUGGCAAGAGCAGUUUCACGGUUCAGUAUCUGUUAAGAAGAGGGGUUUUGGUUAAGAAAAAUAUUUAUGCAGUAGUCAAGAACUGAGAAAAUUCUCGACAGAAAGAUAGAAAACUUUGCCUUGUUUCUCUGGAGAAGAGCAUUGGUUUCACCCAUUGCACGAAGAUGCUCUAUAAGAUCCAGCGCUGAGUAAUAAAGAUAUCAAAGAAGAAGGAAGGAAAGCUUAGAAGGUGAAGAUAUAUACAAACCAAACCAAACCAAUGAUGAAGAAUAAAAAUGGAAUAGUUUUUUUACCACUCUUGUAUUUAACUACAUAUUCGUCAACGUCAACGCCAGGGAGACUAAAACCAGCCCUGGUCAAGAGAUUCCCUGCGUCCCUAACCUGAAAGCAAAAUAGAGAGAGAAGCCAUUUUCUUCAGCUCAGUAUGAUACAAAGUCAACUCUUUCGUUCUGUCAUCAACAAAUUGCAAUCACCGACAUAUUUAUCGUCAAGCUGUAACACACACACACACACACACACACCUGGGCCAAAGGAGAUAGCCGGGGACUAAUGCCUCCUUCACGCUCCAUGUGAGCCAAAGUGCAUGCUAUUCUCAGUUCCCUGAUUAAAAUAAAGAUUAAUUUUACAAAAAAAAAAAGGAAAGAUAAUAACAAAGAGGUAUUCAAUUUUGAGAAGGAAGACAGAACAAACUUUAAAGUUUCUCCACCAAGAAUCGCUGCUAAAAAUAAGCCAUCAGGCUUCAGGGCCAGUUUGCACUGCACAAUCCAAAACCAACACAUUAUCAAUCUCCCUCAAGAUGACAAACCAAUUGACCACAUACACAGGCAAAAAAAGCAACCUGUAUCAUGGAACCUGGAAGAUCGUUUGUCCAAUGAAGCCCCAAGGAACUUAUGAUCAAAUCCACCGAACUUCAAAAGACAAACAUUUUCCAAAUAUCAGUAGUUGACAUAGAACUCUGAUGAGUGGCAGCAAAGGUAGGUUAUACAUUAAUGUUGUCGUUACCUCUCUUUGAUAGGGAGAAACUCUUCAUCACCAACCAAGUAAGAUGUCUCGAUAGAGUUAUCAUCUUGAGCAUCUCUGCAUGAUUUAAUCAUGUCAUGUGAGGUAUCCAUCAUGAUAAGCUUUUCAAUCCCGCCUGUGCACCCAAAUCCAAAUCCAAAAAGAACCAUCAUCAUCAUAAACAUUCAAAACAUGCAGAUGGAAAUACACAUAAACCAAGAGAGUCAAGAGAGAGAUAGAUAACUAACCACGAGCACGUAGUAGACGCUGAACAGCACCAAGAGAUCCUCCCAAACACAACGCAGAGGGAAAACUCUUCUUACAAUCCUUAGAAAAGAGCAAAAAACGCAGAGGAUCCAAAUCAAGAAGGGCAGUCACUUAACACUCUUGUAUCAAAGACAAAGAGUGUACCUCUAAGCGGUCAAGAAGAUUCUCAGCAACAGCGUCGACAAAGGUGUCGUUUUUAUUGCGAGACAGCCACGCCGCUCGGUCACGCUUCAAUUCCCAUCCCAAAGUCAAUCAAACCCAAACACAAAAUAAGUCGCAACCAAUCCAAAAACAAAAAAAAAACAAAAAAAAACAAAAGCUUUGGCUAGUAAAAGUUGAGCACUGCACAUGUACGCGCUUGAGAUCUCGAUCGAAGAUCUUGACCCUUGAGCUGUUCUGCUGAGACUCACCGCCACCGCCAUAAGCACCUUCUGUAGAGAAGGAACGAGAGGCCGAGAAUGCGUGAGAUUGCUUCGUAGGUUUUUCGAGUACUCUCUUAAGAAUCUCAACUCGUCCGUACACUGAAUCGAUCCUCCGCAUUUCUGUUUCUUAGCCGCACCGGGGAAACGUCGGACAGAGUGCGGUCGGUAGAUUGCUUCUGUCUAAGUCCUUUUUUUUUAAUUUCGGUCCCUACUAUUUAUCUAUAAUUUCAUCAUUACUCUCUUACUUUACAUUUUACACUUAUGUUCCCCCUCACACUUGAGUUUAAUUAAUCCCAGUCAAAUAGCUUUUGGUCGUAUUAUUAUGGGCAAUUCUCUGGAAUAGUUAUUAUUAAACUUUUGUAAUAAAAAUAAUAUUCAAGAAAGAAAAUGAUCAAAAUAGUCUAUAUUCGUUUUGAAAUUUUAAUUUUUGUUUUUUGUUUUUUAAAAUUUGAAAUCCUAUCUAUAAAACUUCACCACUUAACUCUAGACUCUAAAUCUAAAUUAGUUAACUCAGGAUAAAAAUACAAUGGACAAUUAUCUUAAAUAGUUAUUUUUAAGUUUUUAUCACAGAAAUAACAUUCAAGAGAGAAAAUGACCAAAAUAACUCAUUUUUGUUUUGAAAAUUUUAAUAUUUAUUUUUUGUUUUUUUUUUUAAAUUUGAAACCCUAUUCCUAAAACCCCACCCCUUUAACUCUAAAUCCUAAAUCUAAAUUAAUUAACUAUAGAAUAAAAAUACAUUUUUUAUCUUUUAAUAAAACUUAUUUUGAUUAUUUUUUUCUUACCAAAACUUUAUUAUCUUCCUAAUUGGAUGAUAGUUUCGUUGGCGUACGUCUUGUGGUUGCGACUCGCUCUCUGCAUCUUAUAGAGAGGAAAAGAAACUGUGAAUAAGUAGUUUGCCAGUCAAAAACAUGGGGGGGGGGGGAAAUGUACAAAGCCAACAAAACCUUGAUGAGACCCUUUUUGCUCAAAUGCUUUUACUAGAGGACCUCACAGGGGUGCACACAGUCAUACCCUAAAGUUCAGUCACUGACUCUUGGAGUCUCUUUUGUAAGGUCUCCGUUUAUUGAACGUGAACGUGCCUCUACUUUGAUCCACACAUCAAGAUUGACCACCGAAUUGCUUGUGGAUAUCCGUGAAGGAGACGGUGGCUGAACCUCUCCGCUUGGCCUGAGGGUGAGACGAGUGUUCUU
rnacentral:lncRNA from 1 species